GUUUCAAUAAAUAUUCGGAGUGCUUUAAUAAAUGAUUGAGUAAUACAUCAACAUUCAAUUGGUUGGUAAUGGGUCCUCCAUAUUCAGCUGUUAAUCAACACUGGUUAUUUACGAAUGAACGAUUGAACGAAAAGUUAAAAAAAAGUUGAGUUAGAAAUUAUUUCUCGAAAUUUGCGGUAAAAUAACGUUUAAUGACGAAAUCUUAUUAAAGUGACAAAAAGAGUUUGAAAAUAAAUCUUGUGUUAAAAAAAGAAAUAUAUUUUCUUAAAAGCUGUGUUUAACAAAUCUUGAAUUAUGUGGCGCAAUCCACCAAUAUUGUGUUUAAUUUGUAGCUCGAAGAUUACUGAUGAUCAAGAAUGUAUAAUUAUUUGUUCUUGUCUCCAUCAAUUCCAUACGGAAUGUAUAGAUUAUUAUAUGUCAAGAUAUCGUGAAUGUCCGAGAUGUAAUAUAACUUCGUUUGCUGAUCUAAAAUCUGCAGAUUCGGAUGAUGAUUAAUUUUUAAUAAAAACAAAUCUUUAUAAAAGAAA